GGCAACCUGCUCAGUUUCUCUCUGCAGUGUGGAAGGUUUGUUCUUUUGCUGUUUGCGGUAAAUCUUGCUGCUGCUCACUGUUUUGGUUUGCAUUCCCUUUAUGAGCUGUGACACUCACCGCAAAGGUCUGCAGUUUCACUCCUGAGGCCAGUGCGACCACGAACCCACAGGGAGGAAUGAACAACUCCCGACAGGAGGAAUGAACAAUUCCAGACGCGCGCCGCCUUAAGAGCUGUAACACUCACCACGAAAGUCUGCAGCUUCACUCCUGAAGCUAGCAAGACCACGAACCCACUAGAAGGAAAAAACUCUGAACGCGUCUGAACAUCAGAAGGAGAAAACUUCGGACACACCGUCUUUAAGAACUGGAACACUUAUACCAUGAGGGUCUGCGGCUUCAUUCUUGAGCCAUUCAACAUAGUGCAUCAGAAGUGAUCUUUCAACACAUCCAGUACAUGAAUAAAUGAAAAACGCAAGUUACAAAACAUUACAGAGGUAAAAUCAUAAAUAUAGUCCCUGAAUUUCAUGGCCACCUGACCUUCACAUGAAGCUCAUAUUAAAGCCAU
ensembl:lncRNA LINC01947 long intergenic non-protein coding RNA 1947